UUGGGUUGGCAAAAAAGUUUGUUUGGGUUUUUUCAUAACAUUUAAUGGAAAACCCAAACAAACAUUUAGGCCAACCCAAU
ensembl:miRNA